AUUGAACGCUGGCGGCAUGCUUUACACAUGCAAGUCGAACGGCAGCGCGGGCUUCGGCCUGGCGGCGAGUGGCGAACGGGUGAGUAAUGCAUCGGAACGUGCCCAGUAGUGGGGGAUAGCCCGGCGAAAGCCGGAUUAAUACCGCAUACGACCUGAGGGUGAAAGCGGGGGACCGAAAGGCCUCGCGCUAUUGGAGCGGCCGAUGUCGGAUUAGCUAGUUGGUGGGGUAAAGGCUUACCAAGGCGACGAUCCGUAGCUGGUCUGAGUGGACGACCAGCCACACUGGGACUGAGACACGGCCCAGACUCCUACGGGAGGCAGCAGUGGGGAAUUUUGGACAAUGGGGGCAACCCUGAUCCAGCCAUGCCGCGUGCGGGAAGAAGGCCUUCGGGUUGUAAACCGCUUUUGUUCGGGAAGAAAUCCUCUGGGCUAAUACCCCGGGGGGAUGACGGUACCGGAAGAAUAAGCACCGGCUAACUACGUG
rnacentral:rRNA from 1 species